rnacentral:rRNA from 1 species
AUUGAACGCUGGCGGCAGGCCUAACACAUGCAAGUCGAGCGGUAGAGAGAAGCUUGCUUCUCUUGAGAGCGGCGGACGGGUGAGUAAUGCCUAGGAAUCUGCCUGGUAGUGGGGGAUAACGUUCGGAAACGAACGCUAAUACCGCAUACGUCCUACGGGAGAAAGCAGGGGACCUUCGGGCCUUGCGCUAUCAGAUGAGCCUAGGUCGGAUUAGCUAGUUGGUGAGGUAAUGGCUCACCAAGGCGACGAUCCGUAACUGGUCUGAGAGGAUGAUCAGUCACACUGGAACUGAGACACGGUCCAGACUCCUACGGGAGGCAGCAGUGGGGAAUAUUGGACAAUGGGCGAAAGCCUGAUCCAGCCAUGCCGCGUGUGUGAAGAAGGUCUUCGGAUUGUAAAGCACUUUAAGUUGGGAGGAAGGGCAGUUACCUAAUACGUGAUUGUUUUGACGUUACCGACAGAAUAAGCACCGGCUAACUCUGUG